CUCUGAGACGUGAUACCGAGCCGCUUCAGGCGAAGUCAUUAAUCCUAUGCUGCCUAGAAAAGCCCAGUAGCGAGUUGACAUGGUGCCCGUACCCCAAACCAACACAGGUGGACAGGUAGAGCAUACCAAGGCGAGUGGGAUAACUAUGGUUAAGGAACUCGGCAAAUUUCCUCCGUAACUUCGGGAUAAGGAGGACCCCAGUAGCGUGACGAGACUUGCUCUCCGAGCGUGAAGGGGUGGCACAAAAUUGAGGGAAGCGACUGUUUACCAAAAACACAGCAGCGUGCUAAGCCGUAAGGCGCUGUAUACGCUGUGACUCCUGCCCGGUGCUGGAAGGUUACGGGGAUGGGUUAGUCCUUUGGGACGAAGCUCUGAACCUAAGCCCCAGUAAACGGCGGCCGUAACUAUAACGGUCCUAAGGUAGCGAAAUUCCUUGUCGGGUAAGUUCCGACCUGCACGAAUGGAGUAACGACUUCCCUACUGUCUCAACCAUAGACCCAGCGAAAUUGAAGUACGAGUAAAGAUUCUCGUUAGCUGCAGAAGGACGGAAAGACCCCGUGGACCUUUACUAUAACUUGAUGUUGUGUUUUGUCAUAUGUUGUGUAGGAUAGGUGGGAGACAAGGAAGCAUGGACGCUAGUCUGUGUGGAGUCAUCGUUGAAAUACCACCCUGCAUAUGGUGAGGCUCUAAUCUAGACCCGUUAUCCGGGUUGGGGACAGCGUCAGGCGGGUAGUUUAACUGGGGCGGUUGCCUCCUAAAGAGUAACGGAGGCGCCCAAAGGUUCCCUCAGCCUGGUUGCAAUCAGGCGUCGAGUGCAAUGGCAAAAGGGAGCUUGACUGCGAGACCUACAAGUCGAGCAGGAGCGAAAGCUGGGCAUAGUGAUCCGGCGGUUGCGUGUGGAAGCGCCGUCGCUCAACGGAUAAAAGGUACCCCGGGGAUAACAGGCUAAUCUUGCCCAAGCGUCCAUAGCGACGGCAAGGUUUGGCACCUCGAUGUCGGCUCAUCGCAUCCUGGGGCUGAAGCAGGUCCCAAGGGUUGGGCUGUUCGCCCAUUAAAGCGGUACGCGAGCUGGGUUCAGAACGUCGUGAGACAGUUCGGUCCCUAUCCUCUGUAGCCGUAGGUGAAUUGAGGAAAGCUGUCCCUAGUACGAGAGGACCGGGACGGACGCAGCUCUCGUGUGCCAGUUGUCCUGCCAAGGGCAUGGCUGGUUAGCGACCUGCGGAAAGGAUAACCGCUGAAAGCAUCUAAGCGGGAAGCCUCUUCCAAGAUGAAUUCACCCACAGGGUUAACCUGGUAAGGCCCGUGGUAGACCACCACGUUGAUAGGCCGGAAGUGUAAGCGUGGCAACACGUUCAGCUGACCGGUACUAAUCGGCCGAGGGCUUG
rnacentral:rRNA from 1 species